CUUGGUCAUUUAGAGGAAGUAAAAGUCGUAACAAGGUCUCCGUAGGUGAACCUGCGGAGGGAUCAUUACACAAAUAUGAAGCCGGACUGGGAUAGGGCCUCGCUGCCUUGCCCGUCUGGCGCCAUAUUCACCCAUGUCUUUUUGCGUACUACUUGUUUCCUUGGCGGGUCCGCCCGCCAAUUGGACCUUAUUCAAACCUUUUUUUCAGUUGCAAUCAGCGUCAGCAAAACAAAUGUAAUCAAUUACAACUUUCAACAACGGAUCUCUUGGUUCUGGCAUCGAUGAAGAACGCAGCGAAAUGCGAUAAGUAGUGUGAAUUGCAGAAUUCAGUGAAUCAUCGAAUCUUUGAACGCACAUUGCGCCCUUUGGUAUUCCAAAGGGCAUGCCUGUUCGAGCGUCAUUUGUACCCUCAAGCUUUGCUUGGUGUUGGGCGUCUUGUCUCUCUCCCGAGACUCGCCUUAAAAUCAUUGGCAGCCGGCCUACUGGUUUCGGAGCGCAGCACAUUAUUUGCGCUCUUGUCCAGCCGCGGUCGCGCGUCCAUGAAGCUUCUUUCAACCUUUUGACCUCGGAUCAGGUAGGGAUACCCGCUGAACUUAAGCAUAUCAAUAAGCGGAGGAAAAGAAACCAACAGGGAUUGCCCUAGUAACGGCGAGUGAAGCGGCAACAGCUCAAAUUUGAAAUCUGGCUCUUUUAGAGUCCGAGUUGUAAUUUGCAGAGGGCGCUUUGGCUUUGGCAGCGGUCCAAGUUCCUUGGAACAGGACGUCACAGAGGGUGAGAAUCCCGUACGUGGUCGCUAGCUAUUGCCGUGUAAAGCCCCUUCGACGAGUCGAGUUGUUUGGGAAU
rnacentral:sRNA from 1 species